AUUGAACGCUGGCGGCAGGCCUAACACAUGCAAGUCGAACGAGUGGCGGACGGGUGAGUAAUGUGUGGGAAACUGCCCGAUGGAGGGGGAAAACCACUGGAAACGGUAUCCUAAACCGCAUACCAUCGGAGGAGCCCAGAAGGGAUUAGCUGGUAGGUGGGGUAACGGCUCACCUAGGCGACGAUCCCUAUCUGGUCUGAGGGAAUGCCCGUCCACACGGGAACUGGGCCCCGGACCAGACUCCGACGGGAGGCACAAGUGGGGAUUAUUUGCCAAUGACCACAAUCCGGCUGAGGACCUCCCAGUAGGUUGAAGCAGACCUUCGGUUUGUAAAGUACGUUCAUCGGGGAGGCGUUACCCGCAGAGAAAGCAACGGCUAACUACGUGCCAGCAGCCGCGGUAAUUC
rnacentral:rRNA from 1 species